CUGAAGGAGAAAAAUCAAAAUUUUUUGGACCUUCAGUGAAAAUAUAAUGAACAAGAGAUGAAGAUUUUUGAGCUGCAUACCUAAGUCGAGGAGAACAAAGAACUGGGGUCAAGGCUUAAAGAGACGGAGAAGGCCAAUGAAGCUCAUGAAAAAGCUAUUGAAGUACUUAAAAAGUAGCUCAAAUAGGAGCAAGAUAAAGUAGCAAGGGC
rnacentral:lncRNA from 1 species